rnacentral:rRNA from 1 species
GACGAACGCUGGCGGCGUGCCUAAUACAUGCAAGUUGAGCGCUGAAGGUUGGUACUUGUACCAACUGGAUGAGCAGCGAACGGGUGAGUAACGCGUGGGGAAUCUGCCUUUGAGCGGGGGACAACAUUUGGAAACGAAUGCUAAUACCGCAUAAAAACUUUAAACACAAGUUUUAAGUUUGAAAGAUGCAAUUGCAUCACUCAAAGAUGAUCCCGCGUUGUAUUAGCUAGUUGGUGAGGUAAAGGCUCACCAAGGCGAUGAUACAUAGCCGACCUGAGAGGGGGAUCGGCCACAUUGGGACUGAGACACGGCCCAAACGCCUACGGGAGGCAGCAGUAGGGAAUCUUCGGCAAUGGACGAAAGUCUGACCGAGCAACGCCGCGGGAGGGAAGAAGGUUUUCGGAUCGUAAAACUCUGUUGGUAGAGAAGAACGUUGGUGAGAGUGGAAAGCUCAUCAAGUGACGGUAACUACCCAGAAAGGGACGGCUAACUACGUG